GGGAGCGCGUCGCUACCUGCAGUCGAGCGAGAAGGUCUUCGGACUGAGUACAGCGGCGGACGGGUGAGUAACGCGUAGGAAUCUACCCAGUAGUGGGGGACAACUUGGGGAAACUCAAGCUAAUACCGCAUACGCCCUAUGGGGGAAAGCGGGGGAUCUUCGGACCUCGCGCUAUUGGAUGAGCCUGCGUCGGAUUAGCUAGUUGGUGGGGUAAAAGCCUACCAAGGCGACGAUCCGUAGCUGGUCUGAGAGGACGAUCAGCCACACUGAGACUGAGACACGGCCCAGACUCCUACGGGAGGCAGCAGUGGGGAAUAUUGCGCAAUGGGGGAAACCCUGACGCAGCCAUGCCGCGUGUGUGAAGAAGGCUCUAGGGUUGUAAAGCACUUUCAGCAGUGAGAAAAAGCCACCGGAUAAUACCCGUUGGUCUUGAUGUUAACUGUAGAAGAAGCACCGGCUAACUCCGUGCCAGCAGCCGCGGUAAUACGGAGGGUGCGAGCGUUAAUCGGAAUUACUGGGCGUAAAGCGCGCGUAGGCGGUCUGUUAAGUCGGAUGUGAAAGCCCCGGGCUUAACCUGGGAACUGCAUUCGAUACUGGCAGACUGGAAUGCGGGAGAGGGAGAUAGAAUUCCAUGUGUAGCGGUGAAAUGCGUAGAUAUAUGGAGGAAUACCAGCGGCGAAGGCGGCCUCCUGGCCUGACAUUGACGCUGAGGUGCGAAAGCGUGGGGAGCAAACAGGAUUAGAUACCCUGGUAGUCCACGCCGUAAACGAUGUCUACUAGCCGUUGGAGAACUUGAUUCUUUAGUGGCGCAGCUAACGCACUAAGUAGACCGCCUGGGGAGUACGGCCGC
rnacentral:rRNA from 1 species